rnacentral:rRNA from 1 species
CCUACGGGUGGCAGCAGUGGGGAAUAUUGCACAAUGGGGGAAACCCUGAUGCAGCGACGCCGCGUGAGUGAAGAAGCGUUUCGGCGCGUAAAGCUCUGUCAGCGGGGAAGAAACACGGUUCGCGAGAGCCGCGGACGGUACCCGACCAAGAAGCCCCGGCUAACUACGUGCCAGCAGCCGCGGUAAUACGUAGGGGGCAAGCGUUAUCCGGAUUUACUGGGUGUAAAGGGAGCGUAGACGGUUAUGUAAGUCUGGAGUGAAAGCCCGGGGCCCAACCCCGGGACUGCUUUGGAAACUGUGUAACUGGAGUACAGGAGGGGCAGGCGGAAUUCCUGGUGUAGCGGUGAAAUGCGUAGAUAUCAGGAGGAACACCGGCGGCGAAGGCGGCCUGCUGGACUGAAACUGACGUUGAGGCUCGAAAGCGUGGGGAGCAAACAGGAUUAGAUACCCGAGUAGUC